UUUUAUUUAUCUUAGUGGCGGACGGGUGAGUAACGUGUGGGCAACCUGCCCUAUACUGGGGAAUAAUCACUGGAAACGGUGACUAAUACCGCAUGUCAUUACGGAAGGGCAUCCUUCUGUAAGAAAAGGAGUAAUUCGGUAUAGGAUGGGCCCGCAUCUGAUUAGCUAGUUGGUGAGAUAACAGCCCACCAAGGCGACGAUCAGUAGCCGACCUGAGAGGGUGAUCGGCCACAUUGGGACUGAGACACGGCCCAAACUCCUACGGGAGGCAGCAGUGGGGAAUAUUGCACAAUGGGGGAAACCCUGAUGCAGCAACGCCGCGUGAAGGAAGAAGGUUUUCGGAUCGUAAACUUCUAUCAACAGGGACGAAGAAAGUGACGGUACCUGAAUAAGAAGCCCCGGCUAACUACGUGCCAGCAGCCGCGGUAAUACGUAGGGGGCAAGCGUUAUCCGGAAUUACUGGGUGUAAAGGGAGCGUAGGCGGCACGCCAAGCCAGAUGUGAAAGCCCGAGGCUUAACCUCGCGGAUUGCAUUUGGAACUGGCGAGCUAGAGUACAGGAGAGGAAAGCGGAAUUCCUAGUGUAGCGGUGAAAUGCGUAGAUAUUAGGAAGAACAC
rnacentral:rRNA from 1 species